rnacentral:rRNA from 1 species
GAUCAUGGCUCAGAACGAACGCUGGUGGCGUGUCUAUACAUGCAAGCGAGCGAGGCAGCAAUGCCGAGCGGCGAACGGGUGAGUAACGCGUAAGCAAUCUGCCCCAUAUCAGGAAAUACCCGUGCCAACGCGCGGUUAAUGUCCAGGAGAGUGGCCUUCCGCAUGGAAGGUUGACUAGAGAUUUUAUCGGUAUGGGAUGAGCUUGCGUCCGAUUAGCUAGUUGGCGGGGCAACGGCCCACCAAGGCGACGAUCGGUAGCCGGCCUGAGAGGGUGAUCGGCCACAUUGGGACUGAGAUACGGCCCAGACUCCUACGGGAGGCAGCAGUAGGGAAUAUUGCACAAUGGGGGAAACCCUGAUGCAGCAACGCCACGUGUGGGGAAAAGGAAGCAUCUCGGUGUGUAAACCACUGUCAUGAGGAUAGCCGCCUCGGCGGCUUGAUGUCCUUGAGAGGAAGCACCGGCAAACUUCGUGCCAGCAGCCGC